UUCCUUGGUCGAAAGGUCCGGGUAAUCUUUGUAAACCGUAUCGUGAUGGGGAUAGAACAUUGCAAUUAUUGUUCUUCAACGAGGAAUGCCUAGUAAGCGUGAGUCAUCAUCUCGCGUUGAUUACGUCCCUGCCCUUUGUACACACCGCCCGUCGCUCCUACCGAUUGAACGUGCUGGUGAAGACAUCGGAUUGGCUGUUUCGCUAGGUUUCCUAGCGUCACAGCUGAGAAGUUGUUUAAACCCUCCCGUUUAGAGGAAGGAGAAGUCGUAACAAGGUUUCCGUAUUUAUGUGUUUACUUGCGGAUAAAAGGGCCACUGAAAAGGUGCUCAGCCCUAGUGAGCGGGUCAACUUUACCCUAACUUGACCCCAGCUUGCAACACUGUCCAAUUGCCGGAACAUCCCGCCAAGUCAGAGGUACCGCCUCACGAGUGAAAGCUUGGUGGGGCAACACGGUGAAAGUCUUUGGUAUGGUAAAAAUCCUUGGGAUAGAGACAAUGCGCAGCCAAGCCCUAAGGACCCCCGCGGAGUAUGGGUGCAGUUCACACACUAAAU
rnacentral:rRNA from 1 species